rnacentral:rRNA from 1 species
UACGAAGGGGCUAGCGUUGCUCGGAAUCACUGGGCGUAAAGGGUGCGUAGGCGGGUCUUUUAAGUCAGGGGUGAAAUCCUGGAGCUCAACUCCAGAACUGCCUUUGAUACUGAAGAUCUUGAGUUCGGGAGAGGUGAGUGGAACUGGCGAGUGUAGAGGUGAAAUUCGUAGAUAUUCGCAAGACACCGAGUGGCGAAGGCGGCUCACUGGCCCGAUACGUGACGCUGAGGCACGAA